CUAGGAAGGGGCGAAAAACAGCUCUCAACUGACCUGGGCUUUUAUAGCACUUUUGGCAGUCAACUUCAGCUUGUCUCCAGCAGACGCGACUGAAAGCUGACCGAAAGCACCGCCUUCCCUGAAGCUCUCAAGAAACAGUGCCCUUUAGGGUAAAGGGGGCAACAGACCUGGAAGG
ensembl:misc_RNA